GAGUUUGAUCAUGGCUCACAACGUACGCUGGCGGCACGCCUAACACAUGCAAGUCGAACGAGUAGCAAUACUAGUGGCAGACGGGUGAGUAACAUGUAGGUAUCUGCCCUUUGGCCUGGAAUAACACGAGGAAACUUAUGCUAAUACCGGAUAAGUCUUUACGGAGAAAGCUUUAUGCACCAUUGGAUGAGCCUGCACUUGAUUAGUUUGUUGGUGGGGUAAUGGCCUACCAAGACUGUGAUCAAUAGCUGAUUUGAGAGGAUGAUCAGCCACAUUGGGACUGAGACACGGCCCAAACUCCUACGGGAGGCAGCAGUGGGGAAUCUUGCACAAUGGAGGAAACUCUGAUGCAGCGAUGCCGCGUGAGUGAAGAAGGCCCUUGGGUUGUAAAGCUCUUUCGUCGGGGAAGAAAAUGACUGUACCCGAAUAAGAAGGUCCGGCUAACUUCGUGCCAGCAGCCGCGGUAAUACGAAGGGACCUAGCGUAGUUCGGAAUUACUGGGCUUAAAGAGUUCGUAGGUGGUUGAAAAAGUUGGUGGUGAAAUCCCAGAGCUUAACUCUGGAACUGCCAUCAAAACUUUUCAGCUAGAGUAUGAUAGAGGAAAGCAGAAUUUCUAGUGUAGAGGUGAAAUUCGUAGAUAUUAGAAAGAAUACCAAUUGCGAAGGCAGCUUUCUGGAUCAUUACUGACACUGAGGAACGAAAGCAUGGGUAGCGAAGAGGAUUAGAUACCCUCGUAGUCCAUGCCGUAAACGAUGUGUGUUAGACGUUGGAAAUUUAUUUUCAGUGUCGCAGCGAAAGCGAUAAACACACCGCCUGGGGAGUACGACCGCAAGGUUAAAACUCAAAUGAAUUGACGGGGACCCGCACAAGUAGUGGAGCAUGUGGUUUAAUUCAAAGAUACGCGCAGAACCUUACCAACACUUGACAUGUCCGUCGCGACUUUAAGAGAUUAAAGUUUUCGGUUCGGCCGGACGAAACACAGGUGCUGCAUGGCUGUCGUCAGCUCGUGUCGUGAGAUGUUGGGUUAAGUCCCGCAACGAGCGCAACCCUCACUUUUAGUUGCCAUCAUUAAGUUGGGCACUCUGAAAGAACUGCCAGUGAUAAGCUGGAGGAAGGUGGGGAUGACGUCAAGUCCUCAUGGCCCUUACGUGUUGGGCUACACACGUGCUACAAUGGUAUCUACAACAGGAAGCAAGACGGCGACGUUAAGCAAAUCCUUAAAAGAUACCUCAGUUCGGAUUGCACUCUGCAACUCGAGUGCAUGAAGCUGGAAUUACUAGUAAUCGUGGAUCAGCGUGCCACGGUGAAUGCGU
rnacentral:rRNA from 1 species